ACUAAAAUAGUUUAAAUAAAAUAUUGAUCUGUGGAGUCAAAGAUAUAUAAUUGUAUUUUUAGUA
rnacentral:tRNA from 1 species